CCUACGGGAGGCAGCAGUGGGGAAUAUUGGACAAUGGGCGAAAGCCUGAUCCAGCAAUGCCGCGUGAGUGAUGAAGGCCUUAGGGUUGUAAAGCUCUUUUACCCGGGAUGAUAAUGACAGUACCGGGAGAAUAAGCCCCGGCUAACUCCGUGCCAGCAGCCGCGGUAAU
rnacentral:rRNA from 5 species